AUUGAACGCUGGCGGCAUGCUUUACACAUGCAAGUCGAACGGUAACAGGGUGCUUGCACCGCUGACGAGUGGCGAACGGGUGAGUAAUGCGUCGGAACGUGCCGAGUAGUGGGGGAUAACGCAUCGAAAGGUGUGCUAAUACCGCAUACGUACUGAGGUAGAAAGUGGGGGACCUUCGGGCCUCACGCUAUUCGAGCGGCCGACGUCUGAUUAGCUAGUCGGUGAGGUAAAGGCUCACCAAGGCGACGAUCAGUAGCGGGUCUGAGAGGAUGAUCCGCCACACUGGGACUGAGACACGGCCCAGACUCCUACGGGAGGCAGCAGUGGGGAAUUUUGGACAAUGGGCGCAAGCCUGAUCCAGCCAUGCCGCGUGUCUGAAGAAGGCCUUCGGGUUGUAAAGGACUUUAGUCCGGGAGCAAAUACCCAGUGCUAAUAACGCUGGGGGCUGAGAGUACCGGAAGAAUAAGCACCGGCUAACUACGUGCCAGCCGCCGCGGUAAGAC
rnacentral:rRNA from 1 species